AUGGCGAAGGUGCAGGUCGGAGUGAACGGUUUUGGCCGUAUCGAGCGCCGGGUCACCAGGGCUGCUUUUGACUCUGGCAAGCUGAGUAUCGUUGCCAUCAACAUCCCCUUCAUUGACCUCAACUACAGGGUGUACGUGUUCCAGUACGACUCCGCCCACGGCAAGUUCCACGGCACCAUCAGGGACGAGAACUGGCAGCUCGUCAUCAACGAAGUCCCAUCACCGUCUUCCAGGAGCGAGAUCCCAGCAAAAUCAAAUGGGGUGACGCUGGCGCUGAUUACGUGGUGGAGUCCACCAUGUCUUCACUACCUUGGAGAAAGCUGGGGCCCACUUGCAGGGGGGAGCCAAAAGGGUCAUCGUCUCCGCCCCCUCCGCUGACGCCCCCAUGUUUGUGAUGGGCGUGUACCACGAGAAGUACCAGAACAAGCUCACGAUUGUCAGCAACACCUCCUGCACCACCAACGGCUUGGCUCCCCCGGCCAAGGUCAUCCACGACAACUUCGGCGUCGUGGAGAGACUCAAGACCACCGUCCACGCCAUCACUGCCACCCAGAAGACUGUGGAUGGCCCCUCCAGGAAGCUGUGGCGUGGGCUGCGGGGCCCUCCAGGACAUCAUCCCUGCGUCCACCGGGGCUGCCAAGGCCGUGGGCAGGGUCAUCCCUGAGCUGAACAGGAAGCUCACGGGCAUGGUCUUCCAUGUCCCCACCACCAACGUGUCUGUUGUGGACCGGCCGCCGGGAGAAGCCCGCCAAAUUUGACGACAUCAAGAAGGUGGUGAAGCUGGCCUCCGAGGGCCCCCUCAAGGGCAUCCUGGGCUACACCAAGCACGAGGUUGUGUCCUCCGACUGCCACAGCGACACCCUCUCUUCCACCUUUGACACUGGGGCUGGCAUCGCCCUCAAUGACCACUUUGUCAAGCUCAUCUCUUGGUAUGACAAUGAAUUUGGCUACAGCAACAGGGUGGUCGACCUCAUGGCCGACAUGGCCUCCAAGGAGUAAGAGCCCCGCACCACCAGCCCCAGCGAGAUCACGAGAGGAAGCGAGAAGCCCUCAGCUGCUGGGGAGUCCCCGACCACACUGAGAACCU